rnacentral:tRNA from 1 species
GGUGAUUAGCUCAGCUGGGAGAGCACCUCCCUUACAAGGAGGGGGUCGGCGGUUCGAUCGUUGCUCAGCA